UAAGACCAUAGUCAAUAUCUAUGACGCAUGAGUUGCAUUCAUGAAGAGUUUCUAAACUGGUUUUAU
rnacentral:tRNA from 1 species